UUGUAAGCAUCCUUCCAUUAUAUAUAAGGUCAUGGAUAAUCAAACACCUUCACAUUGAAUCAGAAAAGAAGCAAUGGAGGCUCGUUCAUAUACGCUUAUACUCAUAUUGGUUGUCGGUGUAGUUGCUGCGUUGGGGCCAAGAACUUGCCAUGGCAGUGUGUAUAAGACGGAGCUUGCAAAAAUGUCCUUGGAGAAGGUUGCCAAAGCUGCUGAUGGUUUUAGAAAGCCACCAGUAAUUCUGUCCCCUCCUGAGCCCAACCGCUUUCAUCGUCAAGAUGCGCCACCAUCUCCACCACCAUUCCUUAACAAGGCUGGCUGAAACCCACAAUUCAUUUCAUUUCACAUCACCAACUUUACAUCCCUUCUUCUUUCCUGUCUAAUUAAGCUUGUUCAUGUAACAAUAAGAUUUCUCUCUUAUUUCCAAUUAUAUUCUGGAUUUAUAAAAGAAGUGAGGAAUUCCAUAAAAUUUGAAAUUGAGAGAUAACCAUACUUUAUUAGGUUUGCGAAAAUGUUUGAUUUUAUUAAUCAUUUUAAUAUUUAAAAAGAAGGAAUGCCCAUGUGAAUGACAAAUUGGCAUAUUCAUACACAACCACAAAGUUUGCUAGAGUUGAAUGGUUGGCAAUUUGACUUGAAAUUAAGGCUCUCAAAGAAAAAACAAUGGAGUUUAACUAACAAGUUGUAAAUGAUGAGCAUUUCAAGAUUCA
rnacentral:lncRNA from 1 species